rnacentral:lncRNA from 1 species
UGUUUUGUCGUGAUAUAGUUUGUAUAUUUUACAAGUAGAUCUAGAUUCUUGAGAUUAUAGUAUUAUUCAAAUAUAAUGAACUUUUCGUCUAUAUAUCAGGGGCGGAGAUAGAAUUUUUUUUUAUGGGAGGCAUUGGUGUAAAUAUAUAGGGGUAGAAUAACAUAAUGGAAGUUGUUUAUAAAAGUAUACAUGUAAUUUUGAAAAGUCAUCAGGGGCAACUGCCCACCACUUAGUCUAUGUGGCUCCGCCAAUAUAUAACUGCAAGCGUCAAACA